rnacentral:misc_RNA from 1 species
GGGGCAGCAGCAGUUGCGACACCCGUAGAGAAGGCAGCCUUGCACAAAUUAAUAUCUCCCUUGGCUUCCCGCAACUCCUCACGUAGGGACUGAAUUUCCAGAGCAGAAUGUAGGAACGAAGCUUACCGGAGUCCAUCGAUUCAUCCCAAGUCGUCGAGAAAGACCGUUCUCUCACCAACUUUAAUAGCUGAUUUUCCUUCUCAAGGUGAUCUAAAUAUCAUGUC